rnacentral:misc_RNA from 1 species
CCGAGUGAGGGCCCGCGGCCCGACCUCCAACCCUUUGUUAUCAAAACCACUGUUGCCUCGGGGGCGACCCGGGCCUCGCGGCGUGGGGCCCCCGACGGACAAUCUCAUAACUCUGCAUCUUUGCGUCGGAUUUAAAAAGUUUAAUUGAUUA